rnacentral:rRNA from 1 species
UAGGGAAUUUUGCGCAAUGGACGGAAGUCUGACGCAGCAACGCCGCGUGAAGGAUGACGGCCUUCGGGUUGUAAACUUCUGUUGGAUGGGAAAAAAAGCCUAGGAAUAGGAAUUGAUGGUACCAUUCGAGUAAGCACCGGCUAACUACGUGCCAGCAGCCGCGGUAAUACGUAGGGUGCGAGCGUUGUUCGGAAUCACUGGGCGUAAAGGGAGCGUAGGCGGGAUCGUAAGUUAGGAGUUUAAUACAUGGGCUCAACCCGUGAUAUGCUUUUAAUACUGCGGUUCUUGAGUAUGGGAGAGGGUGAUGGAAUUCCAGGUGUAGCGGUGGAAUGCGUAGAUAUCUGGAAGAACACCAGUAGCGAAGGCGGUCACCUGGCCCAAUACUGACGCUGAGGCUCGAAAGCUGGGGGAGCAAACAGG